rnacentral:tRNA from 1 species
GGGUACAUAGCUCAGUGGUAGAGCACAUGCUUAGCAUGCACGAGGUCCUGGGUUCAAUCCCCAGCACCUCCA